AAUUCUCAACCCCUCUCGAUUUGCUUCGAGGGGGAGCUUGGAUAGUGGGGGCUGCCAGAGUCUUCAGGGACUCAGGCUCUCCUGAAAUGCAUCGGCUUGCGAUCGACUUUCGACUUUGCGCAACAAGGCUUUCGGCGUGAUAAUGAUCGCCGUCUUCCGAAGCGCAUGAUGGAAAGGUCUCGUGCCUCGAACGCGUCGACGUCUUCGAGACGUCUUCCUUCUUUAU
rnacentral:misc_RNA from 1 species